rnacentral:lncRNA from 1 species
GCCUUGGUCUCCCAAAGUGCUGGGAUUACAGGCAUGAGCCACUGCGCCUGGCCAAAAUUAAUUUUUAAAAAGAUGAGAAAGAAAAACAAACCAAUUGGUAGUCCACUCAGUAUGAAUCAUGAGAUCAACUUGUUCUCUGACCUGCUUCUUCAUAGUUAUUUGGUGUCUAUUGUUCUGGAAUCACAUAGACCCUGGACUGUAGACCCUGGAAUCACAUAGACCCUGGACUAUAAUGUUUAUAGACAACUUAAACAUUAUAAAAUGUUAAGUUUUUCCUUUGAAAUAGUACUUCAGGUCCUACAUACUAAUAAAACUACUGACUCUACUGGUCUGAAGGACCCCAUGAAGAGCUGACUCACCAAAGAAUGCAGUUUCCACAUCCUGAGCUUUUCAUCCCCCCCGUGCCCAACCAGUCAAUGUCUUCAGUUUUCCAGCCCCUCACCCUCCACAAUCCCCUUAAAAGCUCCAGCCCAAAACUCCACAAAAAAAUAAAUUUGAGGGUCUCCUCCUGUCUCCUCACUUGUCACCCUGCAAUCAUUAAACUCGUUCUCCACUACAUCCCUGCUGUCUCAGUGUAAUUGUUCUAUUACUACACAACAGACAUACUACACAACACACAUACUACACAACAGACAUACAUACACAACAUUUGGUCCUAAAGCGGUAGGGAGCAGGCAGCAUCCAUACAAGACGUUCACAGGUCCCAGAGCAGUGAAAGGACCCCACAAGGUCAGCUAAGGUUUCUUCAUCUCUCACCCUUGUUCCCACCACCAUGCUAUUCUCUGUGCCUCUGACGUAAUCACCCUCUGCCUUUAUAUUUUCAUUUAAAAACUUUCUCUUAAGCAUCUACUUUGUGUCAGUCCCGUAGUAGGAGACAAUGUAAGCAAAGAGAGAUAGCAGGAAAAUAAACCAUUAGAGUUCUCCAGAGAACAGAACCAAUUGAGAGAUUUAUUAUAAGGAAUUCACUCACGUGAUUCUGGAAGCCGAUACGAUCUGCAGUAGGCACGCUAGAGACCCAGCAGAGCCAAUGGUGCAAUUCCUACCCUCAGGCCAGGAAAAAAACCUCACAUCCCAGCUUGCAGGCAGUCAGGCAGGAGGAAUUCCCUUUUAUUUGGGAAAGGGUCAGCCUUUCAUUCUAUUCAGACUUUCAGCUGAUCGGUGGGCCCCCCAACAUGCGCGCAUCAGAGAGAUCAAUCUGCUUUACUUAGUCUCUUGAUUUAAAUGUUAAACUCGGCCAUGUGAGCGCGGUGGCUCAUGCCUGUAAUGCUAGCACUUUGGGAAGUGGAAGCAGGUGGAUGGCUUGUGCUCAGGAGUUCAAGGCCAGCCUGGGCAAUGUGGCAAAACCCUGUCUCCACAAAAACAAAACAAAACAAAAAAAUUAGCUGGGCGUGGUGGCAUGUACCUGUAGUCCGUGACAGAGCAAAACUCCACCUCAAAAAAACAAACAAAACAAAACAAAAACAGAAAUUGGAGACCAGCCUGGGCAACACAACAAGAUCCUUUCUCUACAGAAAUGUUUUAAAAAUAGCCAAGUGUAGAGACACGCCUCUGUAGCUUCUCAGGAGGAUGAGAUGGAAGGAUCGCUUGAGCCCAGAAGUUUGAGGCUGCAGUGAGCUAUGAUUACGCUACUGCACUACAGCCCAAGUGACAGAGUGACACCCCAUCUCUAAAAACAACCAUGAAAUAAAAUAACAACAGCAAUAAUAAUAAUAAUGCUUUUUCAAAAAGGAGGAAAGGGAAAGUUUUUUU